UGUACGUGUGGUGUGUGUAGGGGUAGGUGUACGUGUAGGUGUACACAUGGUGUGUGUAGGGGUAGGUAAAGGUGUACAUAUGGUGUGUGCAGAGAUAGGUGUAGGUGUACGUGUGGUGUGUGUAGGGGUAGGUGUACGUGUAGGUGUACACAUGGUGUGUGUAGGGGUAGGUAAAGGUGUACAUAUGGUGUGUGCAGAGAUAGGUGUAGGUGUACGUGUGGUGUGUGUAGGGGUAGGUGUACGUGUAGGUGUACACAUGGUGUGUGUAGGGGUAGGUAAAGGUGUACAUAUGGUGUGUGCAGAGAUAGGUGUAGGUGUACGUGUGGUGUGUGUAGGGGUAGGUGUACGUGUAGGUGUACACAUGGUGUGUGUAGGGGUAGGUAAAGGUGUACAUAUGGUGUGUGCAGAGAUAGGUGUAGGUGUACGUGUGGUGUGUGUAGGGGUAGGUG